GCUAGGGUGGCUGAGCGGUUUAGGCGACGGGCUGCAGACCCGUUUCACUGGGGUUCGAAUCCCUACCCUAGCUCCA
rnacentral:tRNA from 1 species